UACGGAGGAUGCAAGCGUUAUCCGGAUUUAUUGGGUUUAAAGGGUGCGUAGGCGGGAAAUAAGUCAGUGGUGAAAUCCUACAGCUUAACUGUAGAAUUGCCGUUGAUACUGUUUUUCUUGAGUAUGGUCAAGGAAGGCGGAAUGUGUAAUGUAGCGGUGAAAUGCUUAGAUAUUACACAGAACACCAAUUGCGAAGGCAGCUUUCUGGCCCAUUACUGACGCUGAGGCACGAAAGCGUGGGGAUCGAACAGGAUUAGAUACCCGCGUA
rnacentral:rRNA from 1 species